GCUAAAUGCUAAUGUCAGCUAACCAAUGAUAAUAAUACUAACAUGCUGAUGUAAAGUGGGUAUUGUUUACCAUCUUAGUUUAGCCUAUUAGCAUUCCAACAUUCACUAAAUAGUUUUUCAGGCAUUUGGUCAUUAAACAACAAACAAAAAUGUUGACCUAAUGAUUGUGCUAGAUGGAAAGUCAAUUAGACACAUCGCCUGGAGACCGUGAACGUCUGUAUAAGAUGUCAUGGCAACAAUGAAGUAGUAGUUAAGAUAUUUCAGUCUGGACCAAAGUGGAAAACUUCCCUCUCUAGUAUUAUGAUGGUAGCAUGGUUCAAAUCAGGUAAAAUCAGGUAACAUUUGAACAACCAUUCUACAUCUACAACAAACGUGUGACAGUUCUUCAAGAUGACGUAAAAUAACGUUUUGGACUUUAAUUACAGUGUUUAAGUCACUUUAAUACACCCUAAAAAUCUCACCCGGAUGCCGAGUUCCACAUUUUCACCACCAUAUAUUUUCAUUCCACCAUCAAGGCUUCCGAUCUCGCCAAAGAACUUUCGAUCAGCUACAAGAAUACCCAUUAUGGAGGGGCUCCUGAAGACAGAAUUUGAAUAGAACCAAUGUCCCAUGCUUCAUAUUAAAAAGGAACAUGUUGUGAGUCGUCCUUUAAAGCGUACCACUCAGGUCUGAAGGACUCGUACAUGCACCACAGAGCCCAGUCGAAGGCAUCCGCAAAAGGUAUAUAGGGAGUCAGUGUCAAGUCAUCAAAAUUGACUUUGUCAAACACUGGUGUCAAUAUCACAGUCCGGUCCUCUUUAAUCCGUGCUAACAACGGUUCAGCCCUGGACACACAGUGACAGUUUUACUUAUGCUGUAUGUCUUGACAAAUCAGAAAUAGAUGAUAAUUAUCACCACUGUAGCACAGCAAGGCAAACUAAGCUGUAACAACUCAGAUCACCAACCAUUGUACAUGGACUUCUAUGUGAGCGUCUAAGAUGGCCACCACGUCCCCCACAGCAGCCCUCCAUCCCGACAGUCUUGCCUGGGUGAGGCCGA